rnacentral:rRNA from 1 species
GACGAACGCUGGCGGCGUGCUUAACACAUGCAAGUCGAACGGAAAGGCCCUGCUUUUGUGGGGUGCUCGAGUGGCGAACGGGUGAGUAACACGUGAGUAACCUGCCCUUGACUUUGGGAUAACUUCAGGAAACUGGGGCUAAUACCGGAUAGGAGCUCCUGCUGCAUGGUGGGGGUUGGAAAGUUUCGGCGGUUGGGGAUGGACUCGCGGCUUAUCAGCUUGUGGGUGGGGUAGUGGCUUACCAAGGCUUUGACGGGUAGCCGGCCUGAGAGGGUGACCGGCGACAUUGGGACUGAGAUACGGCCCAGACUCCUACGGGAGGCAGCAGUGGGGAAUAUUGCACAAUGGGCGGAAGCCUGAUGCAGCAACGCCGCGUGCGGGAUGACGGCCUUCGGGUUGUAAACCGCUUUCGCCUGUGACGAAGCGUGAGUGACGGUAAUGGGUAAAGAAGCACCGGCUAACUACGUG